UGAGGAAUAUUGGACAAUGGGUGAGAGCCUGAUCCAGCCAUCCCGCGUGCAGGAAGAAUGCCUUAUGGGUUGUAAACUGCUUUUAUACAGGAAUAAACCACUUUACGUGUAAGGUGUUGAAGGUACUGUAUGAAUAAGCAUCGGCUAACUCCGUGCCAGCAGCCGCGGUAAUACGGAGGAUGCAAGCGUUAUCCGGAUUUAUUGGGUUUAAAGGGUCCGUAGGCGGGCAUAUAAGUCAGGGGUGAAAUCCGACAGCUUAACUGUCGAACUGCCUUUGAUACUGCAAGUCUUGAGUGAGAUUGAAGUAGCUGGAAUGUGUAGUGUAGCGGUGAAAUGCUUAGAUAUUACACGGAACACCGAUAGCGAAGGCAGGUUACUAAGUCUUAACUGACGCUGAGGGACGAAAGCGUGGGGAGCGAACAGGAUUAGAUACCCUGGUAGUCCACGCCGUAAACGAUGGAUACUGUCUGUUGGGGCAUAAGCUUCAGUGGAUAAGCGAAAGUGAUAAGUAUCCCACCUGGGGAGUACGUUCGCAAGAAUGAAACUCAAAGGAAUUGACGGAGACGUCU
rnacentral:rRNA from 1 species